GAUGGAGGAUGCAAGUGUUAUCCGGAAUCACUGGGCGUAAAGCGUCUGUAGGUGGUUUAAUAAGUCAACUGUUAAAUCUUGAGGCUCAACCUCAAAAUCGCAGUCGAAACUAUUAGGCUAGAGUAUAGUAGGGGUAAAGGGAAUUUCCAGUGGAGCGGUGAAAUGCGUAGAGAUUGGAAAGAACACCGAUGGCGAAGGCACUUUACUGGGCUAUUACUAACACUCAGAGACGAAAGCUAGGGUAGCAAAUGGG
rnacentral:rRNA from 1 species